UGGGGCGUAGCCAAGUGGUAAGGCAACGGGUUUUGGUCCCGCUAUUCGGAGGUUCGAAUCCUUCCGUCCCAGA
rnacentral:tRNA from 18 species